rnacentral:piRNA from 1 species
UGUGAGAUACUCCGUUAAUUUGUAC